GGUCAUUAGACCCUUGGGUGUUGUUAAGUUUAAGAACAAUGUUGUUAAAUGAAAAAAGUCUUUCAAAACUGGAAUGGUCUGCAUAUAUGUUAUGGCAUGAGGAAAUUGAAAAGAAAAAGCAAGAAUGUUCCCCCCCAGUCUGGUGCAACAGGAGGGGCAUGUAAAGGAGAGGGUACUGGUGUUGCCUGUUUGUAUCCCUCACUGUACAAUUUAAAAAGAAAUGUUAAAAAUCCUCCGCCUUAUAAUGAUGAUGAGGAUUUUUUUGAUUAAUCAUGAGAUUAUGAAUCCCUCUUUGGGUCACUUCCCCUCAGCAGAUGAAUGAUGCACCACAGCUUGUACCCCAAAAUUUAGCUGGUGCCUCAGCCAUGUUGCAUUGAGGUGGUAGACCUGAGAGGGAUAUUAGACUGCCUAAAAGAUUUGCUGAUCAUGCUGUGGUUACUAUCAGGUUUAUCAGGAUGUAGCAAUGUGUUGCCUGAGAGUGAUGGGAGUGAGGCUAUGAUUUUACCUAUUAG